rnacentral:misc_RNA from 1 species
CUUUGAAGUUCUAAUAUCACGAAGAAACACCCUCGAUGAGCAAGGCGCCGUCGCCACCUUCCCCCAAGCUGUUAAAACCAGUAGCUGUCGAAAGUCCGACUGAAGACCUCGAUGUGCUGUUGGAAAAAGCUGGCCUACAAGGAAUAUUAGAAAAGGACUUCGUUCUGAUGCAAGGGCUGAAACACGACUUGAACAGGAAACUGUACGAAAUGGAGGGAAACAAGGAGGCGGUGAGUAACUGAAUGUAGGAUGAUAAAGACGAAUAUUAUAAUGAUAAACAAUUUUGCCCAUAUUGAAAAUCCAAAAAAG